UACGUAGGUGGCAAGCGUUAUCCGGAUUUACUGGGUGUAAAGGGCGUGUAGGCGGGGACGCAAGUCAGAUGCGAAAACCACGGGCUCAACCUGUGGCCUGCAUUUGAAACUGUGUUUCUUGAGUACUGGAGAGGCAGACGGAAUUCCUAGUGUAGCGGUGAAAUGCGUAGAUAUUAGGAGGAACACCAGUGGCGAAGGCGGUCUGCUGGACAGCAACUGACGCUGAGGCGCGAAAGCGUGGGGAGCAAACAGG
rnacentral:rRNA from 1 species